GGGUUGUGAGGUUCAGCGACUAAGCGUACACGGUGGAUGCCCUGGCAGUCAGAGGCCAUGAAGAACGUGCUAACCUGCGA
rnacentral:rRNA from 1 species